GCUCCGUUUUGCGAAAUACGGAAAGUUUGCUGUUGCGCAAGGCAGAAUUUUCUCCCCCAUCCAGAAUAUUCCGACGCCAUUACUUUCAGUGCGGUCAGUGCCUACCUAAAUUUCUGCAAGUCACAAGGAAAGUUGGAAACAGAAAACAUUGCAGCCCAAAGAGAGUGGCCCAUGCAGAUUCAUCAGAGCUGUCAAAGCAUUGGAAGCAGAUUCACAAACUCCACCGCAGUUCACCCGGCCUGGCCCCUCAUCAACACCUGAACCACAGAGGUUUCAGCUGCCCUCAACACCACCUGAGACAGCCGACUCCCAUCCCAAG